GACGAACGCUGGCGGCGUGCUUAACACAUGCAAGUCGAACGGAAAGGCCCUGCUUUUGUGGGGUGCUCGAGUGGCGAGCGGGUGAGUAACACGUGAGUAACCUGCCCUUGACUUUGGGAUAACUUCAGGAAACUGGGGCUAAUACCGGAUAGGAGCUCCUGCUGCAUGGUGGGGGUUGGAAAGUUUCGGCGGUUGGGGAUGGACUCGCGGCUUAUCAGCUUGUUGGUGGGGUAGUGGCUUACCAAGGCUUUGACGGGUAGCCGGCCUGAGAGGGUGACCGGCCACAUUGGGACUGAGAUACGGCCCAGACUCCUACGGGAGGCAGCAGUGGGGAAUAUUGCACAAUGGGCGGAAGCCUGAUGCAGCAACGCCGCGUGCGGGAUGACGGCCUUCGGGUUGUAAACCGCUUUCGCCUGUGACGAGGCGUGAGUGACGGUAAUGGGUAAAGAAGCACCGGCUAACUACGUG
rnacentral:rRNA from 1 species